rnacentral:lncRNA from 1 species
GAACAAUACUGAAUAUAUACAUAUUUAUACCACAUUACAUAAAGUCAUCUAUACAUGCCAUGUUUCCAAAGUAUUAAUUGCAAAAUACCCAAAAAGUUGAUGAUAGUGUGGAUGAUUAUCUGACGUCGUCCAAGUUCCGAGUUGAUUGAUGUCACUAUAAUCAAGGGAAAAUAAAAACAAGUAAGAAUAUAGCUUAGUAAGUAAACAUAUGACCAAUAAAUAAAUUCCUCACAUGAUUACAUAGUAACAUAAUUUUAAUCACACAUAAAUUUCAUUGUUUGUUCAAUUUCCAGCAAGCUGUUUUUCUGCAUCAUGGUCACUAAUUUAUUUUUAUCUGGAGAUACAGGGCUCCAAAUUAAGUUCUGUAAAUUUUCCCCAGAACUAAAUUCAUAUAUCUUUCAACCAUAAAAUUUUCAGAAUUUUUGGUUUGGCCAAUUAUUACAGUUCAUUCUCUAAAGAUUCCCCUGUUUCACUGCUCAACAGUUCUGACCUAUUCUUACUAAAAUUUUCUUAACUCCCUUUACAGAAUUAAAAAAAUGUUAUCGUUUAUUUAUAUUAAAAAUAGACUCAUUAAAAAAUCCAAAAAUAUAAAUUUCAGGCCAUAAUUAUUUUUUUACAAUUUAUGGUGAUUUUCCAAAGUUGGAACAGGGGAUUUCGAAAUCAAUUCAACCCUGUCUCAAUAAAAUUCAAAUAUCCCCAAAUAUACAACUCUUUUGCUUGCUCUAUUUCUUUCAUAUGAAAAUAAACUCGUCCAGAUUUAAUUUCAUAUAUUAUUCAACCUCUAAUUCAUUUUCCACCAUUUAUGGUGAUUUUUCAAAGUUGCCCAACUGUUAUUAUUCAAAACAGUUUUGUAUUAUUGUUCUUUUGUAUUUUUGAUAUUUCCUCCCAUCUUACAUAUGGGUUGAUUAAGUAUCAAACCCAAUAUUCCUCCCAUAAACUUGUCCACCAUAUAUAAAUAUUCACCUUUCCAAUUUCCUCGUUGAACACUCGGAAUAUUAUCCGUUAUCGGUGGAUUCAGCACUUAGCAACCACCAAUGAGUCGGGGAAUCAGCACUUAGCAACCCCUUUCACAUUUAAGAUACGGUGGGAUCAACACUUAGCAACCACCAAUGAUUCGGGGAAUCAGCACUUAGCAACCCCUCGGGGNNNNNNNNNNNNNNNNNNNNNNNNNNNNNNNNNNNNNNNNNNNNNNNNNNNNNNNNNNNNNNNNNNNNNNNNNNNNNNNNNNNNNNNNNNNNNNNNNNNNCAUUUAAGAUACGGUGGAAUCAGCACUUAGCAACCACCAAUGAAUCGGGGAAUCAGCACUUAGCAACCCCCUUUAUAUUCAAUGUAAUCCGGCCUAUUCCGAGUGUUCAACCGGAAACCGUGUUUUUCAACACUUUACCACCUUUCCCAACUUAACCACACUUUUAGAAUCUUUACCAAAUAUUUAUGUUCAAAUAAAUCUCAACAUAUAUCAAAUAAUAUCAAAAAUAUGCAUUAUUUCACAUGUUUACUUACCUCGGUGCAAAAUAUCGUAAUUUUGCAAUUUACUCAACUAUCUUCUCUUUUCCCCGUUUGAGGUAGUCUUCUCAUCUUUCUUGAUCUAUAAUAUCAAAUUUAACUCAUUUAAUGUUCAAAUUUAAUAAAAUAGUCCUCCACCCAACUUUUUGAAAAAUUACAAUUUUGCCCCCAAACUUUUGAAUAUUUACACUUUUGUCCCUAAGCUCGGAAAUUAAAUUUCAUCUCCUAUUAUUAUGUUUUACAACAUGCUGAACACUUUUCCCUUCUAUAGCAACAUCAAAUUCUCACUCUAACACAUACUUUUGAACAAUAAUUAUUUUUACCGAUUAUGUCAAUUUACCCGUUUUCGUUUAAAAUCGCUUAGCAAAAGUUGUUUAACAUAAUUUCUAGCUUCAUAUUCCACCAUAAAACAGAAAAAUAAACACUUUUCACUGAUGGGUAUUUUUUCAAAUAUAAACCCUAGGUUAAAUUAUUGCUAGAAUAAGCUAAAUUAAGCUAUCGGGACUCCAAAAACGUAAAGAACAUUAAAAACGGGGCUUGGAAUCACUUACUAUUGAGCUUGGAAGCUUAAAAACCCUAACUAUGGCUUCCCCCUUGCUGAUUUUGUUCACCAUGGAGAAGAUGAGCACAUUUUUCCAUCUUUUUCCCUUUU